rnacentral:rRNA from 1 species
CGGGGGGGGGGGCCUAAUACAUGCCAAGUCGUACGCUUCUUUUUCCACCGGAGCUUGCUCCACCGGAAAAAGAAGAGUGGCGAACGGGUGAGUAACACGUGGGUAACCUGCCCAUCAGAAGGGGAUAACACUUGGAAACAGGUGCUAAUACCGUAUAACAAUCGAAACCGCAUGGUUUUGAUUUGAAAGACGCUUUCGGGUGUCGCUGAUGGAUGGACCCGCGGUGCAUUAGCUAGUUGGUGAGGUAACGGCUCACCAAGGCCACGAUGCAUAGCCGACCUGAGAGGGUGAUCGGCCACAUUGGGACUGAGACACGGCCCAAACUCCUACGGGAGGCAGCAGUAGGGAAUCUUCGGCAAUGGACGAAAGUCUGACCGAGCAACGCCGCGUGAGUGAAGAAGGUUUUCGGAUCGUAAAACUCUGUUGUUAGAGAAGAACAAGGAUGAGAGUAACUGUUCAUCCCUUGACGGUAUCUAACCAGAAAGCCACGGCUAACUACGUGCCAGCAGCCGCGGUAAUACGUAGGUGGCAAGCGUUGUCCGGAUUUAUUGGGCGUAAAGCGAGCGCAGGCGGUUUCUUAAGUCUGAUGUGAAAGCCCCCGGCUCAACCGGGGAGGGUCAUUGGAAAACUGGGAGACUUGAGUG